rnacentral:rRNA from 1 species
AUACGGAGGGGGCUAGCGUUGUUCGGAAUUACUGGGCGUAAAGCGCGCGUAGGCGGAGUGAUCAGUCAGGGGUGAAAUCCCGAGGCUUAACCUCGGAACUGCCUUUGAUACUGUCAAUCUUGAGUGCGAGAGAGGUGAGUGGAAUUCCUAGUGUAGAGGUGAAAUUCGUAGAUAUUAGGAAGAACACCAGUGGCGAAGGCGGCUCACUGGCUCGAUACUGACGCUGAGGUGCGAAAGCGUGGGGAGCAAACAGGAUUAGAUACCCUAGUAGUCC